GUUUCUAUACAAACUUGAGAUUUUUAUCCGUCGACAACGAGGAGUUUCCAGUAUUUUCCAUGUGAUGACUACGUUGUUUAGUCCAUAGUCUUAUCAAAAAUUUUAUUCAACAAAGAUAAUUAAUUAAAAGGGAAAAUCGGGCCGAUGGAUGGAUCUUCCGCCGCUCUGCCCGCCUCCUCCCAUCCCGGUUUUUGUACACCCGCCGGCGAGGAUGGCCGAAUCUCCGGCCUGCCGGCGGCCACCCAAGGGAUGUCACCGGCGAUCUUCCCCUCCGGAACCCACCCGCCGGUCAAAUAAAAAAAAGGAGGGAGCCGCCGGAUCCAGUUCGCCGGCGGUUACCCUCUCAAGCACCGGCAUAAAGAGUGGCCGGAGAAAGAGAUUAGGCGGCGGCCGGCCGAUCAGGACUUUUCCGGCGGCCGCCGACCGGGGUUUUCUUUUGGGACGGACGGCAUGAAGUUGGAACCGCCGUAUCUAACAAACUGAUGGUUCCCUCUCCCUAAUCGGAGGCACAAAGGGGUUGGAGACAUUGGAGACGGCGGCGGUCCGCCGGCCGAAUAUUUGGAGGGGAGGAGCGCCGGUUUUGGGCUCCUCCUUCUCCAUCGAUCAUCCAUCCAACCUAACCAUCGCCGGCUCACCGGCGGUCGGGACGGCUGUCUCAGGACGGCCUCCGGUGGUUGAGGACAGGCGGUGUUUAGAGAAGCCUUACGCCGCGCCCAUGGGGUUU
rnacentral:lncRNA from 1 species